CAAGUAAUUAAGUGCAUGUGGUGGAUGCCUUGGCAGUCAGAGGCGAUGAAAGACGUGAUAGCCUGCGAAAAGCUCCGGGGAGGCGGCAAAUAUCCUUUGAUCCGGAGAUGUCUGAAUGGGGGAACCCACCUACUUUAAGGUAGGUAUUGCAACAUGAAUACAUAGUGUUGCAAGGCGAACGAGGGGAAGUGAAACAUCUCAGUACCCUUAGGAAAAGAAAUCAAUUGAGAUUCCCUCAGUAGCGGCGAGCGAACGGGGAUCAGCCCAUUAAGUUAUGUGUGUUUUAGUGGAACGCUCUGGGAAGUGCGAACGUAGAGGGUGAUAUUCCCGUACACGAAAGGGCACACAUAAUGAUGACGAGUAGGGCGAGGCACGUGAAACCUUGUCUGAAUAUGGGGGGACCAUCCUCCAAGGCUAAAUACUCCUGACUGACCGAUAGUGAACCAGUACCGUGAGGGAAAGGCGAAAAGAACCCCUGUGAGGGGAGUGAAAUAGAUCCUGAAACCGCAUGCAUACAAGCAGUGGGAGCACCUUCGUGGUGUGACUGCGUACCUUUUGUAUAAUGGGUCAGCGACUUAUAUUCAGUAGCGAGGUUAACCGUAUAGGGGAGCCGUAGAGAAAUCGAGUCUUAAUAGGGCGUUUAGUUGCUGGGUAUAGACCCGAAACCAGGCGAUCUAUCCAUGAGCAGGUUGAAGGUUGGGUAACACUAACUGGAGGACCGAACCCACUGUCGUUGAAAAGCCAGGGGAUGACUUGUGGAUAGGGGUGAAAGGCUAAUCAAGCCUGGUGAUAGCUGGUUCUCCCCGAAAGCUAUUUAGGUAGCGCCUCGGACGAAUACCAUAGGGGGUAGAGCACUGUUUCGGCUAGGGGGUCAUCCCGACUUACCAAACCGAUGCAAACUCCGAAUACCUAUGAGUACUAUCCGGGAGACAGACUGCGGGUGCUAACGUCCGUAGUCAAGAGGAAAACAAUCCAGACCGCCAGCUAAGGCCCCAAAAUCAUAGUUAAGUGGGAAACGAUGUGGGAAGGCAUAGACAGCUAGGAGGUUGGCUUAGAAGCAGCCACCCUUUAAAGAAAGCGUAAUAGCUCACUAGUCGAGUCGGCCUGCGCGGAAGAUGUAACGGGGCUAAAACUAUGUGCCGAAGCUGCGGAUGUAUACUUUGUAUACGUGGUAGGGGAGCGUUCUGUAAGCCGAUGAAGGUGUGUUGAGAAGCAUGCUGGAGGUAUCAGAAGUGCGAAUGCUGACGUGAGUAACGACAAAACGGGUGAAAAACCCGUUCGCCGAAAGACCAAGGGUUCCAGUCCAACGUUAAUCGGGGCUGGGUGAGUCGACCCCUAAGGCGAGGCCGAAAGGCGUAGUCGAUGGGAAAAUGGUUAAUAUUCCAUUACUUCUGUGUAAUGCGAUGAGAGGACGGAGAAGGCUAAAUCAGCCUGGCGUUGGUUGUCCAGGUGAAAGGAUGUAGGCAUGUAUCUUAGGCAAAUCCGGGGUACUCUAUGCUGAGAUCUGAUAGCAAGCUGUACUUGUACAGCGAAGUGGUUGAUGCCAUGCUUCCAGGAAAAGUCUCUAAGCUUCAGUUACACAGGAAUCGUACCCGAAACCGACACAGGUGGUCAGGUCGAGUAGACCAAGGCGCUUGAGAGAACUCUGCUGAAGGAACUAGGCAAAAUGGUACCGUAACUUCGGGAGAAGGUACGCUGUUGUUGGUGAUGGAACUCGCUUCCUGAGCUGACGACAGCCGCAGAAACCAGGCCGCUGCAACUGUUUAUUAAAAACAUAGCACUCUGCAAACACGAAAGUGGACGUAUAGGGUGUGAUGCCUGCCCGGUGCUGGAAGGUUAAUUGAUGGGGUUAGCGUAAGCGAAGCUCUUGAUCGAAGCCCCAGUAAACGGCGGCCGUAACUAUAACGGUCCUAAGGUAGCGAAAUUCCUUGUCGGGUAAGUUCCGACCUGCACGAAUGGCAUAAUGAUGGCGGCGCUGUCUCCAGCAGAGGCUCAGUGAAAUCGAAAUCGCUGUGAAGAUGCAGUGUACCCGCGGCUAGACGGAAAGACCCCGUGAACCUUUACUGCAGCUUGACACUGAACUUUGACCUUACUUGUGUAGGAUAGGUGGGAGGCUUUGAAGCUGGAACGCUAGUUCCAGUGGAGCCGUCCUUGAAAUACCACCCUGGUAAUGUUGAGGUUCUAACUCUGUCCCGUGAUCCGGGACGAGGACCGUGUCUGGUGGGUAGUUUGACUGGGGCGGUCUCCUCCUAAAGAGUAACGGAGGAGUACGAAGGUGCGCUCAGCGUGGUCGGAAAUCACGCGUAGAGUAUAAAGGCAAAAGCGCGCUUAACUGCGAGACCCACAAGUCGAGCAGGUACGAAAGUAGGUCUUAGUGAUCCGGUGGUUCUGUAUGGAAGGGCCAUCGCUCAACGGAUAAAAGGUACUCUGGGGAUAACAGGCUGAUACCGCCCAAGAGUUCAUAUCGACGGCGGUGUUUGGCACCUCGAUGUCGGCUCAUCUCAUCCUGGGGCUGAAGCAGGUCCCAAGGGUAUGGCUGUUCGCCAUUUAAAGAGGUACGCGAGCUGGGUUUAGAACGUCGUGAGACAGUUCGGUCCCUAUCUACCGUGGGCGCUGGAAAUUUGAGAGGAUCUGCUCCUAGUACGAGAGGACCAGAGUGGACGAACCUCUGGUGUACCGGUUGUGACGCCAGUCGCAUCGCCGGGUAGCUAUGUUCGGAAGGGAUAACCGCUGAAAGCAUCUAAGCGGGAAGCCUACCUCAAGAUAAGAUUUCCCUAGGACUUUAUGUCCUCUAAAGAGCCGUUCGAGACUAGGACGUUGAUAGGUUGGAUGUGGAAGCAUAGUGAUAUGUGAAGCUGACCAAUACUAAUUGCUCGUGAGACUUGACUA
rnacentral:rRNA from 1 species